rfam:Metarhizium anisopliae BRIP 53293 unplaced genomic scaffold Scaffold_7, whole genome shotgun sequence.
GCACAGAGAAGAUUAGCAUGGCCCCUGCACUAAGGAUGACACGCUCAAUCAAAGAGAAGCUAAACAUUUUU